rnacentral:rRNA from 1 species
GUCAAUAGUCUACAGGCCUACCACCCUGAACAUGUCCGACCUCAGAAGCUAAGUAGGGUUAGGCCUAGUUAGUACUUGGAUGGGAGAAAGGGAAGACACCAGAACACUACUUGACA